UCACAAAAGCCUUUUAAUUUUCAACAUUAUUAUUAUUCAUGGCUCGCUUCAAUGCUAUUUUGCUCAUCAUCAUCAUCACCAUGCUUGUUUUGGUGAACCAUAAUUCCUCAUUGUUGGUGGAUGCUAGAAAGGUGAUCAAAAUUGAGGCACAAGAAAAGGUUCCUUUUGUGAAGGGUACUUCAAGUGUGAGUUAUUAUGGAAGAAGGCAUGUUGCUCGGUUUGCCGGCGGUAGUGAAAGAGUUCUUGUUCAAUCUACGCCGAGUCCCGGUGCCGGCCACAGGUGACCAAGUCACCAGAUGAUCUCCACCACUCAUAUAUGUGUUAUUAAUAAAGUAACAAAUUUGUGUUUUUUUUUUUCAAAAUUAGGAGUAAGAUUUAAAAUUGCGACCUUUAAGUGAGUAUGAGAAAAUUAUAUCACUUGAGUUAUAAUAAAUUUGUGUUAUUUGAACAUUUAAAAUUAGGCUAAUG
rnacentral:lncRNA from 1 species